AAGAAGACAGCGGUGAGCAGUUCAUCGUCAUUGUUUCCCCUGGGCGUAUGGCAUCCUUCGGUCGGGAGUCCCAUUUCGUGGAGGGCACAUUUAUGCUGAGAGGUGCUUACAGCCUGGAGUAUUAACCUGGAGUAUUCACCCGUCAUUUUCAUCAUGUAGCAAUACUGCCUUCAAAAAAGUGAAGUGGAUCAGAUCUUCGCAGCUUUCAAGGAACCCAACAACGAGCCGAUGGAGAGACCUGAAGAAGUUGCCGACGGUCACCCAGAGGUGGAGAAAUCUACAGAGAUUGGACAGAAUAAUGCGGACACCCGUCUAACAUGUAGAGGACUAUGUUUUGCAUCCAAACCAGUUUGAGCGUUCCUGGAGAUCUCUCCUACAAAUACUGUGUGCCAGUUAGCAGAAUUACAUUCCACUAUUCACAAAUACACUGUUUCAGGAGAGAUGCAUGAGGAGCAUAAGGAAUCCUCAUAGUUUUUAUCACUGAUCAGAAUGACUACAUAAGAUACAAAUUAGAUAUUUGUGGAAAGUCUGAAGAACGUUAUUUCACUCUAAUAACCUUCAAAACAGUCUUGAAAAUUUCCAGUGUGUGACCAGGAGAAUUAUCAUAUUGGAAGAUUCAUAUGUUGCAGUGUACCAUAUAAUCAACACUUCGAUACAAAAUGGUUGGUUACCUUUCCCGUUACGAUUCAUUUCAAGCUGACCAUCAGACCCGCCGUAAACCAGUAAAAAUGCUACACAGCAUUUACGAUGCUACAGUGCUGAAAUGAUACUAUACUGGCAACACGAUUUCUCAGUGUUCUCCAUAACAAGGACAUCUGCGACUGGGGCAGUAUACAGGAAAACACGCCGGAGUAUAUCUCCUGUACUAUUACUCAAAGUGGCCGAAGGUAGACCACAUGACUCCGGCCUGGUGGUCCCGGGUUCUUCCUCGUUCCAGGCCCUCCAGGACUGUCCAGGCCCACUCAACUUGCUAUCAGGCACCAGAUCCAGGGGGUAAAAGGGGACUGAGGCGGUGGCCGCACCACCCUCCCACCCUCUCCCCUCCUCACCUAGUGUCGCGACGAGUGAAGGACUACGCUCUACCCGCAAUGAGGCCAAAAGCUCAUUCACGAGCUAAGAGCCACAGCCUUUAUCACUCAGACGUCCAGCUCUGUCAAUGUCUUGUUUGCGUAAUUCCCGUCAUACUGCUUUCGGUAGACUGUAGACACAUAUUGUGCUCAGAGGUCACUUUCUGACGGUAUUAGAGGUGAGAGCACUCUUGCAGUUUGUUAUACAUGACAGAGCACUGUAGAUGCAAUGCGCCACAAAAUUAUCAUAUUAUCACGACGCUGGACACAGUAGCUCUGGGUAUCCCCAGUUCGCAGGCAUACCAAUUUCUCGGGACGCACUGAUGAGUGUUACAUAGUACGUAAGGAAAAUAAACGGUCAGGUUAUAAUUUGCGAUUCUUAUUGUUUACACUAUAGUAUAGAGGAAAAACAAGACAACAUAAGAUUAUAAGUUGCAGAUAUUAUUGUUUAUACAUGGAUGUUCAUAUUAUUCUGUCCAAUCCCUGUAGAUUUUAGCAAUCUGUCUAUUAAUGGUAUAUCAAUGAAAAAUAAACACA